rnacentral:lncRNA from 1 species
CUUCUUUCCUCUAGUCGGGUAGUGAUGUAGUAACUUUCUUCCUGUUGGAGAGGCAAAGGCACCUCUUUUCAUGUUGGGUCUGCAGUUUUGGCAAGUGGUAGGGCUGAGAGGUCUCCUUGUGGCCCCUGGAAUCCAUUUUAAAUUAGCUCCCCAGGCUCUGGGUUCUAAAGGAGGGAGCGACGUUUGAUGGUGGAAAUGAGGAAGGGACAGAGAAGGUUAAUUAGACACUUUCAAGGAAUUUCCUACAAGUUUCUACUAUCUUCCAGGAAGGUGCCUAGUGCUAUUUAUGAAGCAUGCUGGGAAACAAAUAGAAAUAAUGUAAGAAGAAGCAAUGGUUAAUGUAGAGACACAUGGAAAGAGGAGAAAUAGAGAUGCAGCUGGACUGAAAAAGGAAUGUGAAAAAUCUAAGCCCAAACAGGAGUGUAACAGACCCACUGAUACCUUUUUCUGGAGCCCAUGAAUCUGUAGUGGAUGAAUAUUCUGAAAACUAAUGAUGGAGUGGAUUUGAGGUUGGUUUCAAGAGCUGUGCAGAUACUGCAAGAUAGUUGAACAAUGAUCAGGAAAGGGCAAUCCUAUUCUCAAUGGUAGUUAACAAUAAGGUUGAAUUUUCUCCAUAUAUUCUC